rnacentral:rRNA from 1 species
CCCGGGCCUUGUACACACCGCCCGUCACGCCAUGGAAGCUGGGGGGGACCCGAAGCCGGUGGCCUAACCGCAAGGAAGGAGCCGUCGAAGGUCAAAUCAGUGACUGGGGCG